GUCCCGGGCGGGCGGGGGAGAGGAGAGCGGCCCCUCGGGCCUCAGGGCUCUCAGCCCGGGCCCUGGCAGCGGGGGGCCCCUGUGAAAAACAAUAUGGGACCAUGUAAUUAAAGACUAUCAUAAUGAGAUGAGCCGCGGGCCUACUUAAAGGUCACGGACAGAUGUAGUUGAUGUUUCCUGUGUUUUGAAGUAACGGGCUUUGCAACGUGACAGCAUUUUUGAAUAGCUGGUCCCCACAGUGUCAGAUGUCCGAGGAAGGAAUCUCAAAGCACCCUCUUUGGCUCCUUUCCAAUGGCAGGGAUGCUCAACAGAGGAAGAAAAGUUCUGUCCGUGCUCUUCAGACACUCCAUUACCUCCCCGAGGAUCUAACGGGGCAGCAGUGAGGGUGCCUCGUUCAGAUGGCAAACAGGAAGAAAGCAGUUUGUUUCUUUUCCUCUCUCACGUAUUCCCUCGAGAUGGAAGAUGACCUUUUAAUUUCUUCCCCCUCCCUAAGGACCAGACCCUUGCCUAUGUGUUUUAACACUUUGGAAAAAACACACCAAACCCUACGAAAAGCAGCACAACUGUCAGGUCUCAUAAGCAAGUGACUGGAUGAAGCUUCUAUUUUGAGAUUCGAACACAGAGCUGGUGUGAAUGCACUCACUAUCUGUGCUGAGCCUGAAGUGUCCAUAGAAAAUCUAUUCUGCAUUUUGAGAAAACCAUUAUACCUGGACAUUUAUCGACCAGCCUGCAGCCUGCCUUCCUGGCUGCAGGGUACUAAAGCCUCAGUAUGAAACUCUGAGCUCUCCCCUGCCCAUCUUCCCAGCAGAACAUCCAAAUACAACGUGCUAUCUUUGUUGCUUGCUGCUCACAUAUCCUUUCCCACUUUUAAGGAUUAUUCCAGCUCUUACCUGGGAAGGCAGAACCUGCCUUUGCCCUGCGGUCUUUGCAGUUUUCUUGGGACCUCCACUCAUGUGGCCCGGGAAAAAGGAAGGCUAAGAAUGUAUUUUAUAGGCAAUUGGAAAAAAAAUGCCAGGAUAAAAAUUAAAUAUACAAAACAACUGGUGUUUUGGGGUUUUUCCCAUUCUCACUGACAAUCUUCAGAGAGUCUUCUGGAGAUGUGCAGUUGAAGAGUGAGCCACUCAAAGCAGUGGCUGCUGUUUUUCUAGCUGCUGAUAUUUCUAGCCCUGCUGCUGGCCUCAGGAGAACUGUGAUGGGGCCCUGGGUGGGCUCCUCAGUUAUAAGCUACCAGCAGCAGCCUUCCAGCUAUUGGGAAUAAUCUUUGGUGAGUGAUACAGCAACCAAUCCAGGUCAGGUUUUGUGUAGGAGGUAUUUUAACAUAACCCUACUUCUUGUCAGAUGAAAAGUUGCUAUAAUUUCUAGGGUCCCCUGCCCCUCUGCCACUAAUGUCUGCUCGCAGCAGCCAGGGGGACAGGGGAGUUAGAUUAGCUUGCCAAAGAAGAUCCUAAAAACGAGGCUCUUUCCCUUAGCUGAGAUGGCAGUUUCAGCUUUAUUUCUUGGGAUCCUUUGGGGUGAGAUGGCAGGAGGGAAAGAGGAAGAGGUAUCGAUAAGCAGUCCUUUUUGAAGACUGGGGAAAAGGGUGGGGGGAAUUUACACAACCAAUAAGGGGAACUGGGGAGAACAAGAUAAGGGAAAGCAACUUACAAUUCUACAUUUUCGGGAGUACAUUUUUGGGUCAUACCAUUUUUCCUAACUGCAUUACAACAAAAAGUAUUUUGGCUUUCCCUGGGAAGGAUGGCUGGUUUGGUUUUUAUUCUCCUAGGAAUGCAUUUUUUUCCUAGCUGUGUACAAUACAAGAUAUAGGUAGAUAAUGAGAUAAAAAUGUUGGAUAUUCCUCUCUUCCUCCCUCACUCUUAUCUCGUUUUGACCACUCACACUGUAAAUUCAGGUCAGGGAUUCUUUCCCACUAUGUGCAUGCAUAGUACACUUCAAAUACUUAGAUGGGAGAAGGGUAUAGAAAUGUCAUAUCCCCUGGAGCAAUUUUGACACAAGGAGCUCUAGGGGAAGGCUGGCUGCAGUCCUGGUCGCUAUCCAGAGCAGCGUCAUGGGCUCAUCAUGAGUUUGUAAGUAAACAAAAGUCUUAGAGAUGGCUGAAGCCAUUCCCUCACCCUUAGGCAGAGUGAGAUUUUCCUCAGCAUAUCCAAAGAUAUUGAACUAUUCCUGCUGUGCAAAGUCAGCAGCCAAAAAGAACAUCCCCCAGCCCCACAGAUCAUCAAAUCCCAAGGGUGUAGGUUGAGCCUGUGACUGCCAACCAAAGCCAUGUUAAAGUCCUCAGGAGGUCGUGAUGGGGUCCUGGGAAAGAAGAGUUCUUGCUUUGAGCAGAGGCUGCAGUCUCUGAGGGACAAUCUUCAAAGAAACAA